GGACCCGUAGCUCAGCGGUAGAGCAUCUGAUUCCAGCUUCCUCUUUCGAAGGUCGGAAACAGCAUCCAGAAGGUCAUCCGUUCAAAUCGGGUCGGGUUCA